GUGCGUCUCCGCCCCCCUCACUCCCAAUUGGCCGCAGUCCUUGAAACCCACAGUUCUCUAUGCAAAUUUAAAGGACUCUCAGCUUCCAUUUGAUGGCCACUUUGAGGAGAACCUCGUUCACUCUGAGAGGAGCUCAGGGAGUUCUCGCGCGGGCCAGCUCCCGGGAGAGUGGCGUCACCCAUACGUUCCCCGAGAGGACUUGGAGCGGGACCGGGACUUGGAGUAGGGACGAAACCGACACCUGACGCCCAGGAGGAACUGGCAGACCGGAAACAGGGAAGAGGUGACGUCAGAGUGCUGGCGUGGCCUGGGCCAUUUCCAACGGGAUCUUAAAGCGGCGUGCUGCACGCGUAGGGGUGGAGUCUAGGCCGAUUUUCCCGCGCUUCAUUGCCCCGCCCCCUGGAGGCGGGGGAAGGGGAGGGAAUACUCGGAAAACUUGUUGCCCUGACAUGCUCAUCAGCACGCAGAAUUUCAGAAGUCGUCUGCGAACCACUGCUCCGCAAACAAUACCCCGGCGGCGAGCCUCUGCAGCCUGCAGCGCACCCAGCCCCUCACAGCAGGCACGUGGGUAUUAAAAGUGGUUCUGUUACCUUGCCCUGGGGUCACUGGACCUCUGGACCCAGGAUAUUCCGUAUGCCCUGAAAGUUGCGGGGAUAAUAGCAACUGUACUGAGGUGUGAAGUGGCACUUCUGGAUGGGACUCUUGGGGCCACCACUUACCAUAUGGUUCCCUUGGGCAAGUCACUCAACCUCCCUGAACCAGUUUUCUCAUGGGUAAAAUUGGCAUUGUAAUAACUAUUGACGUUGUUUUAUGAGGAUUAGGAGCAUUUAUAAUUUAAAAGUGCUUUGUAAAGUGAUGGACAAGUGGAAUUAGUAUCCCACACUCCGCCACCUUCUUUCUCUUGGUUGCCUACAGUUGCUGCAGCUCACAGCGCUCUUCCAUCUCUGAGCAACUAACUAGAGUCGCAUAUCAGAUGUAGCCAACCCGCAAUCCAUUCCCACCUCCUUCUCUUAGUCUUUCUGUAUGGAAUAAUAAUUACUACUGCUAUACACUACUAUGUGUGGGAACUUAAUUAUAUUAACUCAUUCCUUACCACAGCCCUGUGAAGGAGGUACUAUUAUUACCUCCAUUUUACUGAGAAGGAAACUUUUGCACAGACAAGUUAAGUUAGGUGACUUAACCAAGGUCAAAGGCAAUGGAGUUGAAAUGGUCCAGAAAGCUAAUCACUGUAUUUCACAGAUUCCCUUGCCAGGACAGUUCUAAGUAGAAAUUUGUUCUUCAAUUAAGUGCACUGUUAAUUCAUUUAAGUAAUAUUCUAAUUCAGUAUUUCUUGAGCACCAUCAAUGAGUAAAACUCUGUCACAGGCACUGAGGAUACAGCAGUGAACAAAGUAGACAAGAAUCCCUACCCUCAUGAAACAUACAUUCCUGUGGAGAAGACAAGCAGUAAAUAUGAUAAAUAAGUAAAAUACAUAGAAACAUGUUACAAAUGAUAAUUUCCAAAGAGAAAAUUAAGCAGGGCUAACAUGCUACAAAAAGACAUGGAGAAACUAAGUACACAUUGAUUGCUAAGUGAAAGAAGCCAAUCUGAAAGGGCUAUAUGCUGUAUGAUUCCAACUAUAUGACACUCUGGAAAAGGAAAAACUAUGGAGAUAGUAAAAAGAUAGUAAAAAGUGGUUGCCAAGCAUUCAGAUGGAGGGAGGGACAAGUUGGUGGAGCACAGGGAAACAUCAAGGCAGUGCAACUAUACUGUAUGAUGCUGUGCUCGCAGGUACAUGACACAUUUGUCAAAAGCCCUAAUGUAAAUGGUGGACAUUAAUUAAUAAUAAGUAAUGUAUCAAUAGUGGCUCAUUAAUUGUAACAAAUGUACCACACUAAUACAAGAUGUUAAUAAUAGGUGAAACUAAGCAGAAGAAGUGUAUGGGGAACUCAAUUUCUGCUCAAUUUUUCUAUAAACCUAAAACCGCUAUAAGAAAGUCUAUUAAUUUUUUUAAUGUAAAAAAAUAAAGCAGGGAACAAGGACAAAGUGUGGGGAGGGUUGCAAUUUUAGAUAGAGAGGACAGUGAAGGCUUCUGAGAACGUGGCAUUAAGGCUGAAGUUUGGUGAGUAAGCCAUAUAGCAGUCUGCAUAGCGAUCUGCAAGAAUAUUCAGGAAGAAGGAACAAAUGCAAGGUGGGAGUGUGCUCCAGAGAGGUAAGGGCGUGGGAAGAGUGAGUCAGGUCAUGGGAUGUUUUGGGGACUAUUGGAAGGACUUAGACUUUUUAUCAGAGUGGGAUGGAAAAGAGACCAAUUGUGGCCUGACUUAUCUUUUAAAAUGGUUGGAUGUGGGUCAUGAGGGAAAAAAAAAAACUCAAAAGCUUGGAAUCUGAAGAAGUAGAAGAAUAGUAGUAGUAUUUAUGGAGCUGGGAAGACUACAGGAGAAGCAGGUUCCGGGGUAAGAUCAGUAGUUCAACUUGAGUCAUGUUCAGUCAUAUUACACAUAUAAGUGGAGAUACAAACUUGGGUGUCAACAGCUUAUAGACUGUCUGAAAUCCAAGUCAAAAUGGGUGAGAUCACCAAAGGAAUGUAUGAAGAUGGAAGGGGAAGAAGACGCAGGACUGAGCCAUGGGGAACUCCAGAGUUUAAAGGUCAGGGAAGUGAGAG